CCCUUAGAUGUUCUGGGCCGCACGCGCGCUACACUGACGAAUGCAACGAGCUUAUAACCUUGGCCGAAAGGUCUGGGUAAUCUCCAAAUUUCGUCGUGAUGGGGAUAGAUUAUUGCAAUUAUUAAUCUUCAACGAGGAAUGCCUAGUAAGCGCAAGUCAUCAGCUUGCGUUGAUUACGUCCCUGCCCUUUGUACACACCGCCCGUCGCUACUACCGAUUGAAUGGUUUAGUGAGGCCUUCGGAUCCGCAACUCGUUUUGUGGAGAAGUUGGACAAACUCAGUCAUUUAGAGGAAGUAAAAGUCGUAACA
rnacentral:rRNA from 1 species